UGGUUCUACCUAACAUUACAGUUACUCUUAACAGGAGUGAAGAGAAGGAUUUACUCUUUCUGAUUAUCCUGAUCAGUUCUCUGGUGAAGAACGGCCCAAGCUCACAGCAACGAAGGACGAUAACAGAGCACCUGCUCUGCAUCUCAGAGCAGCAACAGUGGGUGCUGAGGAACUACGUAACCACAGAGUUCCUGUUUACUGUAUUUCUUAAGGAUAAAGUUUUCUGUGAUUGUGUGGUGAAAACGUAGCACUUGGAAGGA
rnacentral:lncRNA from 1 species